UUACGCGACAGCUUAUUUCCCUCUUUCCUUUUCCCUCGUCAUUUUUCACUCUCCCUCCAUUUCAUUUCACAAAACGAAAACCCUAAUUCCAUGCUAAUUCGUGAAUCCCUUUUUUCCCUAUUUCGUGAACCGAUUCGUGAAUCCCUAAUCCGUGAAUCCAUUGAAGAAUCCCUAAUUCCCUAAUUCAAAAUCCCUCGUUAAAGGGUUUCUGAAUCAUCAAAGGUUUUCCAGAACUAUCGGCUUUGUGGAUGCUGGAAUCAACUUUUCUUUGCAAGUUUUCAAGAAUGCUCAUCUUACUUAGUUGAGGCAGUAAGCAGUUGUUGAAUGCAAGUUAAUUUGGAACCGAAGCACUAUAUCAUCCGGGAUUUUGCAAAGACAACUCUUUCUCAAGGUUAGUCAUCCCUAUGUUAAUUUGGAACCAGACUGAACAGUUAGUGUUUGCAAUAGUUA